UACGAAGGGGGCUAGCGUUGUUCGGAAUUACUGGGCGUAAAGCGCACGUAGGCGGAUAUUUAAGUCAGGGGUGAAAUCCCAGAGCUCAACUCUGGAACUGCCUUUGAUACUGGGUAUCUUGAGUAUGGAAGAGGUAAGUGGAAUUGCGAGUGUAGAGGUGAAAUUCGUAGAUAUUCGCAGGAACACCAGUGGCGAAGGCGGCUUACUGGUCCAUAAC
rnacentral:rRNA from 1 species